UUAGAUGAAAUGGAGACUUGUUACAUAUAUUCUAUAUAUAUGAAAAAUAUGCAUAAACUAAAUUGUAAGUCUGACCGAAGAGUCGUUUCACCAACUAUACUUUGUAGUACAAAGUGUUGGUUGCUCAAGGACCACAUGUCCAUAAGAUGAAUAUAAUAGAAAUGGGGAUAGUAAUAUGGAUGUCCGACCACAUUAGAGUGGAUAUAACAAGAAAAGAUAUCGGUGACACAAUUGAGGAUA
rnacentral:lncRNA from 1 species